rnacentral:lncRNA from 1 species
UUAUAGAGAAACAAAUGACUGAGUAGGCCUACUAUACUCUUAUGAAUAUAGAACCCUUCGUACUUAUAAGUUGUUUUUAAUGAUGAAACUUCCAAAUUGACGAUCCACACUAUUAAAUAUGAUCUAGAUAUUUAAAACUUUUUAGAAAAUAAAUUUCAUACUUUUUUGAAAUUAUAUUAAACUCCAUCAAGCGGGCAUAAAAUGAACAGUUAAAUUCGAACGACGUACUAAAAAUAAAUGAUAGAAUACUUCAAUUUAAGAUGAACGACGUUCUAAAAAUAAAUGAUACGAUCCUUCAAUUUAAGAUCGGAGUUAUUGAUCUUUAUUUAGAUACUGAAUAGAAUUUUUUAUUAAAAAUUCAACCUAUUUUGAUUUUUUUACACCGUUAAAUUAGCAAGUAUCCCACACCGACCGUUAAAAAUUGUCAAUUUUGAGAUCUUUUGAUCGUAAGGUAAAUGAUGUCAAAAAAUUAUGAUUUUUGAAGUUUAGAAGUUUUAAAUGUUCUGAAUAAUGUUCAUCAGUAUAGAUCGUUGAUUCGGAAACUCCAUUAUCGAAAACGAUUUAUGAGUACGAAAACGAUCGUACUCAUAAGAUUAUAGUAGCCGGACUCCAAAGGACAUAUAUACACAUGUAUAAUUAAAA